UGAUGCACAAGCUAUGGAGGG
rnacentral:misc_RNA from 1 species